UGAAUUUUUACAAGGUGAGCACACCUGUUGUGUAUUCCAGUUACAUAUAUUUGCAUAACAAAUUACUGCUAAACUUAGUGGCUUAAAAUAGCAAUAUUUAUUUUGCUUAUGAAUUUGUAAUUUGGGCAAGGCUUGGUAGGUUAACUUGAAGAUUGGGGACUGGAAUCAUCUGAAGGCUCCUUUACUUACGUGUUUAGCUGUUGUUGCUACCUGUUAGCUGUGACCUUAGGUUAUGUCUGUGACCAGAGCACCUUCAAAGAGCCUUUCCAUGCAAUUCUUUGAUGUUUUCAUAGCAUGGUGGCUGAAUAGCAAGGGUGAGCAUCCCAAGAAAGAGGGCCAGGUGGAAGUUCUAGUGCCUUUUCUAACACAGCAUUAGAAAUCAUGCAAUGUCAGUUCCCGUGUAUUCUGUUUGCUGGAGGUGAGUCACUAAGACCAGCCCAUAUAAAAGAGGAGGAAAUUGUACUUCACUUUCUAAUGGUAGGAGUGUCAAAGUGUCAGUGGAUAUGUUUUUAAACUACCACACUUACCUAACCAGCUCCCUGAUCAAGAAGCAGAACAAUACAGUGCUCCAACCUUGCUUUCCUAUCAUUACCUGCUGCCUGCCUAAAAGUUUCUCUCAGCAGAAGAUACUCAAAGGAAGAUAGAGCCAUAGAACAAAGAUUAAAUUCAAGGCCCUGUUAGAAAAUCAUGGACUCCAGGAGUGUAAGCAGAACUUGAAAUAACUCAUCAGUCUUCACCUGGAAGAAGUGGACUGAAAGAGAUAUAAUCAUGGUCAAGCUCUGGAAAUUAUCUGAUUACUGCUUGGUCCCUCCAUGGUGAUCUGUCUUUUGAUUUUAUACCCAAGAUGAUCAUCAGUGAUGACAUUUGAUCACUAGUAUUUCUUUUCAUUAGGAGCCCUGAGAGUGGUCUUCCUCUAGAAGGUGAUAUUACAAAACAGCAAACAUGCAAACCAACUGUUUGGGAUAUAAAGAUUGUAGAACAUCCCUUGCUUUUUUUUUCUUUCUUGAGUAAACAUGUAAAUUAUUCUGUAAAAACA